CAGCCGCCGCGGUAACACCAGCACCUCGAGUGGUCAGGAGGUUUAUUGGGCCUAAAGCAUCCGUAGCCGGUUGCAUAAGUUUUCGGUUAAAUCUAUGCGCUUAACGUAUAGGCCGCCGAAAAUACUGUGCAGCUAGGGAGUGGGAGAGGUACACGGUACUCGAUAGGAAGGGGUAAAAUCCUUUGAUCUAUUGAUGACCACCUGUGGCGAAGGCGGUGUACCAGAACACGUUCGACGGUGAGGGAUGAAAGCUGGGGGAGCAAACCGGAUUAGAUACCCGUGUAGUCCCUGUCUCUUAUAC
rnacentral:rRNA from 1 species